GCUCCGGGCUGGAGAAGUCCCUUGAGGAAGCCAUGCUGUUUAUUUCACCGCAGUGCAGACGGACAAGGCUCCCGGGCCUCUAUCUGGAAUUCAGGGGCCACAGGAAUCGCGUGCUGUGGCUACGCUCCGCGACACGCUACACAGCCCCACCCCCAAGGGCCCCCUCGGAUGGAUGAAGCCGCCCGGGGCGGCCGCCAACAGCCCCACCCCCGAGGGCCCCCUCGGAUGGAUGAAGCCGCCCGGGGCGGCCGCCCACAGCCCCGCUGCCACCCUGCUCUGAGGCAGCGCUCUCCUGCUUCCAGAUGUUUCCUGGCAGCCCGCAGGCAAUGCAUCCUCAUCGGCUGCCCAAAUCACAGAGGCCGGUAACCAUGCCGUCCGAACCCUUCGCUCAAAAGACUGCCCAAGACCUUCAGGUCCCCCUUCCACGCAGACGCACCUGUGCCCACAACACCAGGACAUCACCCCCUCCAGACGAAACACAAGCAUCGUCAGACCAAGUAUAUGCUGUGCAAUGAAAACCACAAACUUGCCGGGACUAUCUUUUUUUCU